rnacentral:rRNA from 1 species
UACGUAGGGUGCAAGCGUUGUCCGGAAUUAUUGGGCGUAAAGCGCGUGUAGGCGGCUUUGCAAGUCGGGUGUGAAAGCCCUCAGCUUAACUGAGGAAGUGCGCCCGAAACUGCGGAGCUUGAAUACCGGAGAGGAUGGCGGAAUUCCCCAAGUAGAGGUGAAAUUCGUAGAUAUGGGGAGGAACACCGGUGGCGAAGGCGGCCAUCUGGACGGCUAUUGACGCUGAGACGCGAAAGCGUGGGGAGCAAACAGG